GAGCGGCAAAAGCUCAAAUUUGAAAUCUGGCACCUUCGGUGUCCGAGUUGUAAUUUGAAGAAGGUAACUUUGGAGUUGGCUCUUGUCUAUGUUCCUUGGAACAGGACGUCACAGAGGGUGAGAAUCCCGUGCGAUGAGAUGCCCAAUUCUAUGUAAAGUGCUUUCGAAGAGUCGAGUUGUUUGGGAAUGCAGCUCUAAGUGGGUGGUAAAUUCCAUCUAAAGCUAAAUAUUGGCGAGAGACCGAUAGCGAACAAGUACAGUGAUGGAAAGAUGAAAAGAACUUUGAAAAGAGAGUGAAAAAGUACGUGAAAUUGUUGAAAGGGAAGGGCUUGAGAUCAGACUUGGUAUUUUGCGAUCCUUUCCUUCUUGGUUGGGUUCCUCGCAGCUUACUGGGCCAGCAUCGGUUUGGAUGGUAGGAUAAUGACUAAGGAAUGUGGCUCUACUUCGGUGGAGUGUUAUAGCCUUGGUUGAUACUGCCUGUCUAGACCGAGGACUGCGUCUUUGACUAGGAUGCUGGCAUAAUGAUCUUAAGCCACCCGUCUU
rnacentral:rRNA from 1 species